GGUAAGCCCAUUGUUAUUGGAUACGUUGAAAGGGUAAUAUGAAAAUUCUAGUCAACGAAUAACAUAAACAAAAUCCCCUAAUCUAAUAAAUAAGUACAUUUUUGCCCGUGACAAUCUCUAAGCCUCCCCCAAUCAAAUUUUCCCGCUCAAAUAUCUAAGUUAAUUUCCGAAAAUACCCUUUUACUUAGACUCUCGGUGCAUAAAAUCCAAUAAGAGUUUAUAGCUCCAUCUUCGGUCUCCCAUUGAAUUAGCAAUUAAAUUGCAAUAAAUCAGGAAACAACAUCAUCUCCAAAUUUGAAUUGUUCUGUUUAAUUCAACAUCUUAUAAAGUCAUUUCCUCCCAUGUGCAAAUUUGUCUUCGAUUUAUGGUUUUCCAAAACUGAAUAUGAUCUGCUCUCAAAAUCCCCAUGUGCUUCUCCUUUGCUUCUCUUCCAUGAGACUUUUUAUUUUUGGGUUUUUGAUUUCAUGUUAAAUUUUGGAUUCUAGGUGUCGUCGCUGCUCUGCCAACAGGAAUGCUCGAAUCUAACGAAGAAGGGGUUAUAUGGAACAAAAAACAUGGAUUCCUUACAUUUGUUUCUCUUAACGAAGAAGUUAACACCUACAUGUUAUGGGUUUAAACGAAAGCAGGUUUCAAGUGUUGGAUAUGCUAAAUAAAAAAUGGAUGUAGAAAUACUUGUGGUUAUACAAAAUCCAGGGGUGUAUGUGCCAAUAAAGGUUGUGAGGUAAUUAAAAGAUUGAAAAUUGCUUUGAGGAUGUGAGGAAGAUUAUGGGCUGAAUCUGGAUCACAAAUGAUUUAUUGCAAAAUCUAUUAUAUGCUUCAAACAUGUGCAAUUUGGAACCUGGUGAAUUCACAAAAUGAGUCUAGGCAAAAUUUCUGCAUUUGAAGAUUGCAAUAUGUAAGGUGAAUUCGGCGGAAGCGGAUCAGAUUUGUAUUUGCAACAGGUCGGAUCUGGGCGAGGGUUUUUCAAUUGGUUAUUUGUCAGUAAAUUUUAUAUAAUAAUUGUUUAUAUAU